GAUGAACGCUGGCGGCGUGCUUAACACAUGCAAGUCGAACGGUGAAGCAGAGCUUGCUCUGUGGAUCAGUGGCGAACGGGUGAGUAACACGUGAGCAACCUGCCCCUGACUCUGGGAUAAGCGCUGGAAACGGCGUCUAAUACUGGAUAUGAGCUGCGACCGCAUGGUCAGCAGUUGGAAAGAUUUUUCGGUCUGGGAUGGGCUCACGGCCUAUCAGCUUGUUGGUGAGGUAAUGGCUCACCAAGGCGUCGACGGGUAGCCGGCCUGAGAGGGUGACCGGCCACACUGGGACUGAGACACGGCCCAGACUCCUACGGGAGGCAGCAGUGGGGAAUAUUGCACAAUGGGCGAAAGCCUGAUGCAGCAACGCCGCGUGAGGGAUGACGGCCUUCGGGCUGUAAACCUCUUUUAGCAGGGAAGAAGCGAAAGUGACGGUACCUGCAGAAAAAGCGCCGGCUAACUACGUG
rnacentral:rRNA from 1 species